AUUGAACGCUGGCGGCAUGCCUUACACAUGCAAGUCGAACGGUAACAGGUCUUCGGAUGCUGACGAGUGGCGAACGGGUGAGUAAUACAUCGGAACGUCCCCGAUCGUGGGGGAUAACGAGGCGAAAGCUUUGCUAAUACCGCAUACGAUCUACGGAUGAAAGCGGGGGAUCUUCGGACCUCGCGCGGACGGAGCGGCCGAUGGCAGAUUAGGUAGUUGGUGGGAUAAAAGCUUACCAAGCCGACGAUCUGUAGCUGGUCUGAGAGGAUGAUCAGCCACACUGGGACUGAGACACGGCCCAGACUCCUACGGGAGGCAGCAGUGGGGAAUUUUGGACAAUGGGCGAAAGCCUGAUCCAGCCAUGCCGCGUGCAGGAUGAAGGCCUUUGGGUUGUAAACUGCUUUUGUACGGAACGAAAAGCCUCUUUCUAAUAAAGAGGGGUCAUGACGGUACCGUAAGAAUAAGCACCGGCUAACUACGUG
rnacentral:rRNA from 1 species